CGGUAGCUAUACCGCAUAACAGUAGAUAUCGCAUGAUAUUUGCUUGAAAGGUGCAAUUGCACCACUACCAGAUGGACCUGCGUUGUAUUAGCUAGUUGGUGAGGUAACGGCUCACCAAGGCAACGAUACAUAGCCGACCUGAGAGGGUGGAUCGGCCACACUGGGACUGAGACACGGCCCAG
rnacentral:rRNA from 1 species